UAAUGUGUGGGCGAUCUGGCAGUGACAUCUGUUACCUCAUUGAUCACUAGGGUUGAUUCGGCUGAUCUGGCUGGCUAGGUGUCCCUUUCCUCCUCACCGCUCAAUGUGAGUCACUUCCGAAGCUGGGCACUUGGUGGGAUUGGACAACAUCCUAGGUAUAGAAGGAGUGUACCAAGGUCUCCAGUUUUCGGUCCAGGGUAUAUGAUCGCUGCACUCCCCUGCUAGAACCUCCAAACAAACAAGCUCACAGUCCACAUGAAAUAAUCACACUUGUGGGAGCCCUGUUUGUGUAACCAUGAACUAAAUGUGUGUAUUGUACAAUGUCAAAAUAUCAC
rnacentral:snRNA from 1 species